UUGGAGGGCAAGUCUGGUGCCCGCAGCCGCGGUAAUUCCAGCUCCAAUAGCGUAUAUUAAAGUUGUUGCAGUUAAAAAGCUCGUAGUUGAAUUUCGGGAUUGACGUGAUGGUCAUGCCUUAAGGGGUAUGAACUGUCACUGUUGAUUUCUCACCUUCUGGAGAAACUUGAUGUCCUUUAUUGGGUGUCUUGCGGAUCCAGGACCUUUGCCUUGAAAAAAUUAGAGUGUUUAAAGCAGGCAUUUUUGCUCGAAUACAUUAGUAUGGAAUAAUAGAGUAGGACGGCAUGGUUCUAUUUUGUUGGUUUCUAGGAUCACCGUAAUGAUUAAUAGGGAUAGUUGGGGGCAUUAGUAUUCAAUUGUCAGAGGUGAAAUUCUUGGAUUUAUUGAGGACUAACUACUGCGAAAGCAUUCGCCAAGGAUGUUUUCAUUAAUCAAGAACGAAAGUUAGGGGAUCGAAGACGAUCAGAUACCGUCGUAGUCUUAACCAUAAACUAUGCCGACUAGGAAUCAGACGAUGUUAAUUUUUUAAUGACUCGUUUGGCACCUUACGGGAAACCAAAGUGUUUGGGUUC
rnacentral:rRNA from 1 species